rnacentral:rRNA from 1 species
AGACCCGAAACCCGGUGAUCUAGCCAUGGGCAGGUUGAAGGUUGGGUAACACUAACUGGAGGACCGAACCGACUAAUGUUGAAAAAUUAGCGGAUGACCUGUGGCUGGGGGUGAAAGGCCAAUCAAACCGGGAGAUAGCUGGUUCUCCCCGAAAGCUAUUUAGGUAGCGCCUCGUGAAUUCAUCUCCGGGGGUAGAGCACUGUUUCGGCUAGGGGGCCAUCCCGGCUUACCAACCCGAUGCAAACUGCGAAUACCGGAGAAUGUUAUCACGGGAGACACACGGCGGGUGCUAACGUCCGUCGUGAAGAGGGAAACAACCCAGACCGCCAGCUAAGGUCCCAAAGUCAUGGUUAAGUGGGAAACGAUGUGGGAAGGCCCAGACAGCCAGGAUGUUGGCUUAGAAGCAGCCAUCAUUUAAAGAAAGCGUAAUAGCUCACUGGUCGAGUCGGCCUGCGCGGAAGAUGUAACGGGGCUAAACCAUGCACCGAAGCUGCGGCAGCGACGCUUAUGCGUUGUUGGGUAGGGGAGCGUUCUGUAAGCCUGCGAAGGUGGCCUGUGAGGGUUGCUGGAGGUAUCAGAAGUGCGAAUGCUGACAUAAGUAACGAUAAAGCGGGUGAAAAGCCCGCUCGCCGGAAGACCAAGGGUUCCUGUCCAACGUUAAUCGGGGCAGGGUGAGUCGACCCCUAAGGCGAGGCCGAAAGGCGUAGUCGAUGGGAAACGGGUUAAUAUUCCCGUACUUGGUGUUACUGCGAAGGGGGGACGGAGAAGGCUAUGUUGGCCGGGCGACGGUUGUCCCGGUUUAAGCGUGUAGGUGUGUGUUCCAGGUAAAUCCGGUUCACUUUAACACUGAGGCGUGACGACGAGGCACUACGGUGCUGAAGCAACAAAUGCCCUGCUUCCAGGAAAAGCCUCUAAGCAUCAGGUAACAUCAAAUCGUACCCCAAACCGACACAGGUGGUCAGGUAGAGAAUACCAAGGCGCUUGAGAGAACUCGGGUGAAGGAACUAGGCAAAAUGGUGCCGUAACUUCGGGAGAAGGCACGCUGACACGUAGGUGAAGUGAUUUACUCACGGAGCUGAAGUCAGUCGAAGAUACCAGCUGGCUGCAACUGUUUAUUAAAAACACAGCACUGUGCAAACACGAAAGUGGACGUAUACGGUGUGACGCCUGCCCGGUGCCGGAAGGUUAAUUGAUGGGGUCAGCGCAAGCGAAGCUCCUGAUCGAAGCCCCGGUAAACGGCGGCCGUAACUAUAACGGUCCUAAGGUAGCGAAAUUCCUUGUC